UACGGGGGGGGCAAGCGUUGUUCGGAAUUACUGGGCGUAAAGGGCUCGUAGGCGGCCAUCUAAGUCAGACGUGAAAUCCCUCGGCUUAACCGGGGAACUGCGUCUGAUACUGGAUGGCUUGAGUUCGGGAGAGGGAUGCGGAAUUCCAGGUGUAGCGGUGAAAUGCGUAGAUAUCUGGAGGAACACCGGUGGCGAAGGCGGCAUCCUGGACCGAUACUGACGCUGAGGAGCGAAAGCCAGGGGAGCAAACGGG
rnacentral:rRNA from 1 species